UCUAGUGGCUGCUGUGGAGUACUGCAGGUUUUAGUGGUUUAACAGGGAGUGAGGCCCUCUAGUGGCUGCUGUGGAGUACUGCAGGUUUUAGUGGAUUAACAGGGAGUGAGGCCCUCUAGUGGCUGCUGUGGAGUACUGCAGGUUUUAGUGGUUUAACAGGGAGUGAGGCCCUCUAGUGGCCGCUGUGCAG